AGUUGUCCAGACGGUUGCGCGCUCAGAAACUGAGCGUGAGGAAAGUCCGAGCAGCACAGAGCAGGAUGACGGCUAACGGCCGCCGAGGGUGACCUUAGGGAAAGUGCAACAGAAAUAAACCGCCGUAUUUACGGUAAGGGUGGAAAGGCGAGGUAAGAGCUCACCGAGCGGGUGGAGACAUCCGCUGCCAUGUAAACCCCAUCCGCUGCAACGCCGACCGGAGAGCUGUUUGCUCGACACAUAACUCCGACGGGCGGCUUGAGCGUAGCGGCAACGCUGCGUCGAGAUAGAUAAUCGUCCACGACAGAACUCGGCUUACGGGCA
rnacentral:RNase_P_RNA from 1 species